GACGAACGCUGGCGGCGUGCCUAAUACAUGCAAGUCGAACGCAGUUGCGAACGGGUGAGUAACGCGUAGGUAACUGCCUCAUAGCGGGGGAUAACUAUUUGAAACGAUAGCUAAUACCGCAUACUGUGAGCUGGACCUGCGUUGUAUUAGGUAGUUGGUGGGGUAAAGGCUCACCAAGGCGACGAUACAUAGCCGACCUGGGAGGGUGGUCGGCCCAAACGGGACUGAGAAACGGCCCAGACUCCUUCGGGAGGGAGCAGGAGGGGAACUUCGGCAAAGGAGGGAAGUCUGGACGAGCAAAUGCCGGGGAGUGAAGGAGGGUUUCGGAGUGGAAAAGUACUUUGGUAGGGAAGCGGUAACUAAAGAGAAAGGAACGGCUAACUACGUGCCAGCAGCCGCGGUAAUAC
rnacentral:rRNA from 1 species